rnacentral:rRNA from 1 species
UACAGAGGGUGCGAGCGUUGUUCGGAGUUAUUGGGCGUAAAGCGCUUGUAGGCGGCCUGUCAAGUCGCGUGUGAAAUCCCCUGGCUUAACCAGGGAAGUGCGCGCGAAACUGAAGGGCUUGAGUGCCGGAGAGGGUCGCGGAAUUCCCGGUGUAGAGGUGAAAUUCGUAGAUAUCGGGAGGAACACCAGUGGCGAAGGCGGCGACCUGGACGGACACUGACGCUGAGACGCGAAAGCGUGGGGAGCAAACAGG